GGGAGGAUGCACUGCGUCAGCUGAUCCGCCCGGACGCCAGACAGGUCACAGCAUGGAGAAAUUACUGGCCAGCUCUGAGUGUGGGCAGGGAUUAAACCAAUCUUCCCACCUGUUGACCCGACAGCAAGUUCACACUGUGGAGAAACCGUUUGCCUGUCCCGAUUGUGGGAAGGGGUUCACUCAAUUGUGCCAACUGACGAGGCACCAGGAUAUUCACACAGGGGAGAGGCCGUUCACUUGCUCUGAAUGUGGGAAGGGAUUUCCUCGUGCAUCUGGGUUACUGAGACACCAGAAAAUUCACACGGGGGAGAAGCCAUUUGUCUGCUCUGAAUGUGGGAAGAGAUUCAUUGAAUCAUUUGAGUUACAGAGACACGAGCGAAUUCACACUGGAGAGAGGCCGUUCACCUGCUCUGAAUGUGGGAAGGGAUAUGCUCGUUCAUCUGAGUUACUGAGACACCAGAAAAUUCACACGGGGGAGAAACCGUUUGUCUGCUCUGAGUGUGGGAAGAGAUUCAUUGAAUCAUUUCACUUACAGAGACACGAGCAAAUUCACACUGAAGAGAGGCCGUACACCUGCUCUGAAUGUGGGAAGGGAUUUACUUGUUCAUCUCCGUUACUGAGACACCAGAGGAUUCACACGGGGGAGAGGCCGUUCACCUGCUCUGAGUGCGGGAUGGUAUUCAGCCGAUCUUGCCACCUGGUGUCCCACCGGCGAGUUCACACUGCGGAGAAACCAUUUGUCUAUACCGAUUGUGGGAUGGGACUUGAUCGAGCAAGGAGGCUGAAGAUCCACCAGCGAGUUCACACGGGGGAGAGGCCGUUCACCUGCUCCGAAUGUGGGAAGGGAUUUACUCAACCUUCUAACCUGAAGACCCACCAGCGAGUUCACACCGGGGAGAGGCCGUUCACCUGCUCUGAAUGUGGGAAGGGAUUCACUCGUUCAUCUGACUUACUGAGACACCAGAAAAUUCACACAAGGGAGAAGCCGUUUGUCUGCUCUGAGUGUGGGAAGAGAUUCAUUGAAUCAAUUGAGUUGCAGAGACAUGAGCAAAUUCACACAGGAGAGAGGCCAUUCACCUGCUCUGAAUGUGGGAAGGGAUUUACUCACCCUUCUAACCUGAAGACCCACCAGAGAGUUCACACCGGGGAGAGGCCGUUCACCUGCUCCAAGUGUGGGAAGGGAUUCACUCGUUCAUCUGACUUACUGAGACACCAGAAAAUUCACAAUGGAGAGAGGCCAUUCACCCGCUCCGAGUGUGGGAAGUGAUUCACUCAGUCGGAUACGUUACUGAGACACCGCAGAAUUCACUCUGGAGAGCGACCGUUCACCUGCUCCGAAUGUGGGAAGGGAUUUACUCGAAUAUCUGA